GGUUGACCUCGGAUCAGGUAGGGAUACCCGCUGAACUUAAGCAUAUCAAUAAGCGGAGGAAAAGAAACCAACCGGGAUUGCCUCAGUAACGGCGAGUGAAGCGGCAAAAGCUCAAAUUUGAAAUCUGGCCCUUCCGGGGUCCGAGUUGUAAUUUGUAGAGGAUGCUUCGGGUGCGGCCCCUGUCUAAGUGCUCUGGAACGGGCCAUCGGAGAGGGUGAGAAUCCCGUCUGGGACGGGGUGUCCGUGUCCGUGUGAAGCUCCUUCGACGAGUCGAGUUGUUUGGGAAUGCAGCUCUAAAUGGGUGGUAAAUUUCAUCUAAAGCUAAAUACAGGCCGGAGACCGAUAGCGCACAAGUAGAGUGAUCGAAAGAUGAAAAGCACUUUGAAAAGAGAGUUAAACAGCACGUGAAAUUGUUGAAAGGGAAGCACUUGCAACCAGACUCGCCCACGGGGUUCAGCCGGCUUUCGGGCCGGUGUACUUCCCCGGGGGCGGGCCAGCGUCGGUUUGGGCGGCCGGUUAAAGGCCCCCGGAAUGUAACACCCCUCGGGGUGUCUUAUAGCCGGGGGUGCCAUGCGGCCAGCCCAGACCGAGGAACGCGCUUCGGCACGGACGCUGGCAUAAUGGUUGUAAAUGACC
rnacentral:rRNA from 1 species